rnacentral:rRNA from 1 species
GAUGAACGCGAGCUACAGGCUUAACACAUGCAAGUCGAGGGGUAACGAGAGGAAAGCUUGCUUUCCUUGUCGACGACCGGCGCACGGGUGAGUAACGCGUAUCCAACCUGCCCCCAACUAAGGAAUAACCUUGCGAAAGUAAGACUAAUACCUUAUAAUUUCCUCAGAUGGCAUCUGACGAGGAAUAAAGAUUUAUCGGUUGUGGAUGGGGAUGCGUCUGAUUAGCUUGUUGGCGGGGUAACGGCCCACCAAGGCAACGAUCAGUAGGGGUUCUGAGAGGAAGGUCCCCCACAUUGGAACUGAGACACGGUCCAAACUCCUACGGGAGGCAGCAGUGAGGAAUAUUGGUCAAUGGGCGGAAGCCUGAACCAGCCAAGUAGCGUGCAGGAUGACGGCCCUAUGGGUUGUAAACUGCUUUUAUACAGGAAUAAAGUUAGCCACGUGUGGUUAUUUGUAGGUACUGUAUGAAUAAGGACCGGCUAAUUCCGUGCCAGCCGCCGCCGUAACAC